GUCAUUAAAAUUAGACCAUUCGCUCCAAUAAGAAUCUCAUGCAAAUGAACAGAACAAUGUUAUAGAAAAAACUAUUCUAAGAGACAUGUAUAGCCUAGUGUAGGUCUAGCCUGCUGAUAAGGUCCGCAUUUUUACAACUAAAGCUACUGGCUACCAUUUAUCUCAUUCUAAAAUACAUCCUCUAUAGGACUUUUGUUGUGAAAGAUGGGUUUUUAUGUCUCUCCUUCGUAAGGUGACGUCACGCUCAUGAAAUUGACAGGCCACCUGUGGGGACGAAUCGGGAUUUAAAUGGAUAUGCCCAUCAUAAAAACUGUAGGUUGUGAUACGGCACAUGGCAGAAAGAUGCACAGUCAAUACUUUCGAUUCCAGUUCCAGAGGCGGCGCAGACAGCAUCUGCAAGAUAUGUACGUGGGACGAGUGGUCAAACCGCAAUAGUUCAUGUCGGGAGGGAUGCUGAUCAUAUCAACAGCGAUCCCCCAUGGAGCAGCAGGGAGACUGAGACCCCUGUUUGAUCUGGCCUUGUUACUGGCGUCUGAAGGAUGAACGCUCCGCUCCGCACAACACAAAAUGAUCCAGGGUGAGAGAGAGCUUGCAAAAUCUUCUCUCCUCCCAAUGGCGAAAUGUGUAUAAUUGCAGCAACUUGCUUUAAAACUGCAACAUUUUCUCUACGCCCCAUUGCAAAAUGUGUAAAAUUACAGGAAAUGAACUAAAAAACGUUUGUUUUCUCUCCUCCGUCAAAAGGCUGUAAACGUGUUUGUCUAAGGUGUUUUGUAUAGAAAUGAUUUAACCUAACACAAAGUGACAUUUAAAGUGCCAUGCUUAUGCCGGUAAAUGUGUGUCAUGGAUUGACAUUGCUUUUGUUUCUUUCUGAAGACAAUUCUGAGACAGAUCUUAAGGGUGCUGGCUGACAUGGCUUGUUUUUCUCCAACAGAGUGAUUUAUUUAUGAAAUUGUAAAAUUGAAAUUAAUUGCACCUGUAUGUCACUCUGGAUAAGAUUACUAAAAUUACUCAAAUGUAAAUCAGCCUGGAAGUGAGUUAGAGAAACAUUGUCUUUGCAGAAAGACACAUAUUGUAAUAUUUACAUGUGAUAUGUAUGUACAAUAUGUGCAUCAUACGUGUGGAUACAGCUUUGUCUCAGAAAUAGGUUGCAAAGGGACGGUAUAUUACUGGAAACGUUUUAAGUGUACUAGUAAAUUACCAGAAUUUUGGUAUCUUUCAAGGAUUUUAUCAAGGAUUUUAUCUAGUGGCCCUUUUGGGUACUUCAGAUUAUCACAAGUGUCUGUAAUUAUCUCUGCCCCUCUGUGUGGCCUUAUCACAUG